UGGGGAAUAUUGCGCAAUGGGCGAAAGCCUGACGCAGCGACGCCGCGUGAGGGAUGAAGGUUUUCGGAUCGUAAACCUCUGUCAGAAGGGAAGAAACCGCACUGUGCUAAUCAGCAGUGCCUUGACGGUACCUUCAAAGGAAGCACCGGCUAACUCCGUGCCAGCAGCCGCGGUAAUACGGAGGGUGCAAGCGUUAAUCGGAAUUACUGGGCGUAAAGCGCACGUAGGCUGCUUUGUAAGUCAGGGGUGAAAUCACACGGCUCAACCGUGGAACUGCCUUUGAUACUGCUUAGCUUGAAUCCGGGAGAGGGUGGCGGAAUUCCAGGUGUAGGAGUGAAAUCCGUAGAUAUCUGGAGGAACAUCAGUGGCGAAGGCGGCCACCUGGACCGGUAUUGACGCUGAGGUGCGAAAGCGUGGGGAGCAAACAGG
rnacentral:rRNA from 1 species